rnacentral:rRNA from 1 species
UUGGGAAUCUUCGGCAAUGGACGAAAGUCUGACCGAGCAACGCCGCGUGAGUGAAGAAGGUUUUCGGAUCGUAAAACUCUGUUGUUAGAGAAGAACAAGGACGUUAGUAACUGAACGUCCCCUGACGGUAUCUAACCAGAAAGCCACGGCUAACUACGUGCCAGCAGCCGCGGUAAUACGUAGGUGGCAAGCGUUGUCCGGAUUUAUUGGGCGUAAAGCGAGCGCAGUCGGUUUCUUAAGUCUGAUGUGAAAGCCCCCGGCGCAACCGGGGAGGGUCAUUGGAAACUGGGAGACUUGAGUGCAGAAGAGGAGAGUGGAAUUUCAUGUGUAGCGGUGAAAUGCGUAGAUAUAUGGAGGAACACCAGUGGCGAAGGCGGCUCUCUGGUCAGUAACUGACGCUGAGGCUCGAAAGCGUGGGGAGCGAACAGG